rnacentral:misc_RNA from 1 species
GUGAAUCAUCAAAUCUUUGAACGCAAAUUGCACUCUCUGGUAUUCCGGAGAGUAUGCCUGUUUGAGGGUCAGUUUAAAUAAAAAUCGGUGUGUUUGCUGCCUGUCGUGGUGACGCACCGGAUUUGGGUCGUCUUGCCUUCGGUUAAGUGACCGAGAAUGUUGCAUGAUUAUUUUCGAACGUAUUUAAAUGGUUUGACUUACGUUGAGG